AGCUUUGAGCAGUGGCAGUAUCUUAACCAAUGAGGUUUCCCAAGGCGUGAUUAUUGCUAAUUGAAAACUUUUCCCAAUACCCUGCCAUGAUAACUUGAAAUAUAACAUAAGAGAUCACGUAAGAUGAUUCUCCCUUCCUAAAUUGUUUAGAAG
rnacentral:snRNA from 1 species